UUAAGUUGUGUAGGGCGCAUGGUGGAUGCCUUGGUGCCGGAUGGCCGAUGAAGGACGUGUGAGGCCGCGUUAGUCCUGGGGGAGUUGUCAACUGUGCUGUGAUCCCAGGGUUUCCGAAUGGGGUAACCUGGCCGGGUUGGUGCCCGGUCGCCGCUUUCUGAAUGUAUAGGGGAGUCGGUGGUGUGGCGGGGAAGUGAAACAUCUUAGUACCUGCUGUGGAGAAAACAAGAGUGAUUCCGUGAGUAGUGGCGAGCGAAAGCGGAGGAGGCUAAACCGGGUUCGUGUGAUAGCCGGCAGGUGUUGCGGGCUCGGGGUUGUGAGGCAUGGGCGUUGUCCGCUGCCGCGGGCAGGUGUCUGGUGUGUUGGUUAGCUGAACGGUCUGGGAAGGCCGGCCGGAGUGGGUGAGAGUCCCGUAGGUGAAGGCUGAUGUGCUGGGUGCGGCUUGUGUGCUCGAGUAGUGCGGGGUUCGUGGAGUCUCGUGUGAAUCUGCCAGGACCGUCUGGUAAGCCUAAAGUGGUCCGGUGACCGAUAGUGGAGAGUACCGUGAGGGAAUGGUGAAAAGUACCCCGGGAGGGGAGUGAAAGAGUGCCUGAAACCAUGUGCCUGUAAGCCGUCAGAGCCCGGUGUGGUGGAUUCGUCUGCUGCGGGUGGGUGAUGGCGUGCCUUUUGAAGAAUGAGCCUGCGAGUCGUGAUGUGCAGCGAGGUUAACCCGUGUGUGGGGGAGCCGGAGCGAAAGCGAGUCUGAAGAGGGCGUUGAGUUGUGUGUUGUGGACCCGAAGCGGGGUGAUCUACCCAUGUCCAGGGUGAAGCGGCUGUAAGAGGUCGUGGAGGCCCGAACCCACCUAGGUUGCAAACUGGGGGGAUGAGGUGUGGGUAGGGGUGAAAGGCCAAUCAAACUCCGUGAUAGCUGGUUCUCCCCGAAAUGCAUUUAGGUGCAGCGUCGUGUGGUGCACCGGGGUGGUAGGGCGCUGGUUGGGUGAUGGGCCGUGUCGGUUACUGAGCUCAGCUAAACUUCGAAUGCUCUGGUGUUGAGUGCGGCAGUGAGUCCGCCGGUGAGAAGAUCGGUGGUCGAGAGGGAAACAGCCCGGAUUACCGGCUAAGGCCCCUAAGGGUGUGCUGAGUGGAAAAGGAUGUGGGGUCGCGUUGACAGCCAGGAGGUUGGCUUAGAAGCAGCCAUCCUUGAAAGAGUGCGUAAUAGCUCACUGGUCGAGUGGUUUCGCGCCGAUAAUGUAGCGGGGCUGAAGUACACCGCCGAAGCCGUAGCAGCGCUGGGCAGGUUUUGCUUGUCCGGUGUUGGGUAGGGGAGCGUCGUGCCAGAGGUGAAGCCGAGCCGUGAGGUAGCCCUGUGGGGUGUGUUGGUGGAUUUGGUGCGAGUGAGAAUGCAGGCAUGAGUAGCGUGACGGCUGUGAGAAUCAGCUGCGCCGAUUGACUAAGGGUUCCAGAGGACGGUUGUUCCGCUCUGGGUUAGUCGGGGCCUAAGGCGAGGCCGAGAGGCGUAGUCGAUGGUGAACCGGUUGAUAUUCCGGUACCCGAGUGCCGCGAUGGACGCGAUAGCGGUUGUGCUAACCGGUCGGUUGCUGGUGCCGCUGCCAUUUCGGUGGUGGUGGUGUUGGUUGCUGGUUGGGGUCCCUGCCGUGUGUAGUGUAGUGAUGGGGUGACGCAGUGGGGUAGCCGUACCGUCUGGUGGAUCAGGCGGGGUAAGGUGGUAGCCCGUCCUCUCAGGCAAAUCCGGGGGGAUGUGGGGUGAGCGCUGAGGCGUAGCCCGUCAGGGUGAAUUCGGUGAUCCCGUGCUGUCGAGAAAAGCCUCUAGCGAGUGGUGUCUCGGCCCGUACCCGAAACCGACACUGGUAGUCAGGUAGAGUAUACUGAGGCGUUCGAGUGAUGUGUGGUUAAGGAAUUCGGCAAAUUGCCUCCGUAACUUCGGGAGAAGGAGGGCCCUCGGUCGUGGCCGGAAGCCGGCGGAAGCGGUUGGGGGUUGCAGAGGCCAGGGAGAAGCGACUGUUUACUAAAAACACAGGUCCAUGCGAAGCCGUGAGGUGAGGUAUAUGGACUGACGCCUGCCCGGUGCUGGAACGUUAAGAGGAUCCAUCAGCCCUUCGGGGUGUCGUGGUGAAUUGAAGCGCCAGUAAACGGCGGUGGUAACUAUAACCAUCCUAAGGUAGCGAAAUUCCUUGUCGGGUAAGUUCCGACCUGCACGAAUGGCGUAACGACUUCUCCGCUGUCUCAACCACAUGCUCGGCGAAAUUGCAGUACGAGUAAAGAUGCUCGUUUCGCGCGGCAGGACGGAAAGACCCCGGGACCUUUACUAUAGCUUGGUAUUGGUGCUUUGUCUGGUUUGUGUAGGAUAGGCGGGAGCCGUGGAGUCCGCCACGCUAGUGGCGGCCGAGGCGUUGGUGAAAUACCGCUCUGGUCAGGUGAGGCUUCUAACCUGCGGCCCUGGAUCGGGUCGGGGGACAGUGCCUGGUGGGUAGUUUAACUGGGGCGGUUGCCUCCUAAAUGGUAACGGAGGCGCCCAAUGGUGCCCUCACGUCGGUUGGAAACCGGUGUUUGAGUGUAAGCGUAGAAGGGUGCUUGACUGUGAGACUGACGGGUCGAGCAGGUGCGAAAGCAGGGGCUAGUGAUCCGGCACCGGUGUACGGAUGCGGUGUCGCUCAACGGCUAAAAGGUACCCCGGGGAUAACAGGCUGAUCUUCCCCAAGAGUCCGUAUCGACGGGAUGGUUUGGCACCUCGAUGUCGGCUCGUCGCAUCCUGGGGCUGGAGUUGGUCCCAAGGGUUGGGCUGUUCGCCCAUUAAAGCGGCACGCGAGCUGGGUUUAGAACGUCGUGAGACAGUUCGGUCCCUAUCCGCCGCGCGCGUUGGAGAUUUGGUGGAGGGCUGUCCCUAGUACGAGAGGACCGGGAUGGACGAACCGCUGGUGUGCCAGUUGUCCCGCCAGGGGCAUGGCUGGUUGGCUACGUUCGGGAGCGAUAACCGCUGAAAGCAUCUAAGCGGGAAGCGUGCUUCCAGAUGAGAUCUCCGUCAACGAACCGUUGGUGAGGCGCCCGGGAGAUGACCGGGUUGAUAGGCCCGACAUGGAAGCGCCGCAAGGUGUGGAGUGGACGGGUACUAACCGCCGAGGACUUAACCCA
rnacentral:rRNA from 1 species